rnacentral:lncRNA from 1 species
UACUCCAACCUCAUCUGGUUGCAAAUACUUCCUUUCAAUUGGUAAUGAUUUUUCGAGGGCAACCUGGACACACUUAUUGGGAUCCAAAAGUUAUGCCUUUUCUAUGCUUAAGUCCUUCCUUGCUAUGGUCAGAACCCAACUUAAUGAUGUGGUUCAGACUGUUAGAAGUGACAAUGCUUUAGAAUUGGGCUCUAGCAAUGAGGGCAUUUCUUUCUUUAGCAGUAAGGGGAUCAUACAUCAACCUCAUGCCCUCACACCCCUCAACAAAAUGGUGUUGUUGAAAGAAAGCAUAGAACUCUUCUGGAAACUUGUAGAGCAUUGCUCUUUCAAUCUGGCUUGCCAGUAUCUUUCUGGGGGGACUGCUUGUAGACUGCCACCUAUCUUCUUAACAGAAUACCCACCAGAUUGCUUCAUAAUAAGUCUCUUCAUGAAAUUUUGUAUGGCAAACUUCCUUCUUAUUCUCACUUGAGGGUUUUUGGUUGCCUGGCCUAUGCCACUGUUCCCAUCCCUCAAAGGGACAAGUUAAAGCCCCCAGCCAUUCCUUGUGUUUUCCUGGGUUAUCCUUUUGGCAAAAAGGGUUAUAGGCUGUAUGAUAUUGCAUCUAGGAAGUAUUUGGUCUCCAGGGAUGUUCUAUUUCAUGAAUCAGUCUUUUCUUUUAAAAUGCAUCUCCCUCUGCUCCUCCUCCUGCUUCUUCUUUUCCCUUUAUUCCUUCUGGAGAACAUGAUGAUAUCUCUGCUCUCCUUCCACUAUCUCUUCCCUCUCCUGCCACAGCUGAGCCAUUGCCCUUUCCUGCUCCUCUCAGUCCUGCUGGUUCACCUCCUGUUUUAAUUCCUUCUCCCUUUGUUCCUGCUCCCAGAAGGUCUGACAGACAACAUAAUCCUCCUUCCUAUCUUAAGGAUUAUAUCUGUCAACUCCCUGCCUUUUCUGGCUCAUCUUCCUCCUCUUUGAAAUCUGAGCCUCUAUACUAUUCUCAAGCAGCAUCUGUUCCAGCUUGGCAAGCUGCCAUGAGACAGGAGUUUGAAGCCUUGGACACAAACCAGACUUGGGAUGUUGUUCCUNNNNNNNNNNNNNNNNNNNNNNNNNNNNNNNNNNNNNNNNNNNNNNNNNNNNNNNNNNNNNNNNNNAUGAGACAGGAGUUUGAAGCUUUGGACACAAACCAUACUUGGGAUGUUGUUCCUCUUCCUCCUGGUAAGAAACCCAUUGGUUGCAAAUGGGUUUACAAAAGGUAGAUGGCAGUGUUGAAAGGUAUAAGGCCAGGUUGGUCAUUAGAGGUGACACACAGGUUGAGGGGAUUGAUUUUACUGAAACUUUCUCCCCAGUGAUAAAAAUGACUUCUGUAAAGUGCCUUAUUGCUGUGGCUGUCAAGAAUCACUGGCCUCUUUUUCAGCUGGAUGUGAAUAAUGCCUUUCUUCAUGGUGAUUUAGAUGAGGAUGUUUACAUGAAACUCCCUCCAGGUUUGACUGUCUCCCCAUUUUCUGAUGAUUCUGGUUCUUCUUCUUCUUCUUCUCCUCCUCUGGUCUGCAAAUCAAAAAGUCUUUGUAUGGGCUGAGACAAGCAUCCAGAUAGUGGUAUGCCAAAUUGUCUUCUGCUCACUAUUCCAGAGGGUAUACUCGUUCUUUGAACGACUACUCCUUAUUCCUCAAGGGUAAACCUGGCUCUUUUGUGGUGGUAGCUGUCUAUGUGGAUGAUAUAAUUCUCACUGGGGAUGACAGUGAUGAAC